AGCGAACGCUGGCGGCAGGCCUAACACAUGCAAGUCGAACGAACCCUUCGGGGUUAGUGGCGGACGGGGGAGUAACACGUGUGAACGUGCCUUUAGGUUCGGAAUAACUCAGGGAAACUUGUGCUAAUACCGAAUGUGCCCUUCGGGGGAAAGAUUUAUCGCCUUUAGAGCGGCCCGCGUCUGAUUAGCUAGUUGGUGAGGUAAUGGCUCACCAAGGCUACGAUCAGUAGCUGGUCUGAGAGGAUGACCAGCCACAUCGGGACUGAGACACGGCCCAAACUCCUACGGGAGGCAGCAGUGGGGAAUCUUGCGCAAUGGGCGAAAGCCUGACGCAGCCAUGCCGCGUGGAUGAUGAAGGUCUUAGGAUUGUAAAAUCCUUUCACCGGUGAAGAUAAUGACUGUAGCCGGAGAAGAAGCCCCGGCUAACUUCGUGCCAGCCGCCGCCGUAAUAC
rnacentral:rRNA from 1 species